GCUGAGCGCGGCGGAGCAUGCCUGUUGUCCAGCUACUCGGGAGGCUGAGGCUGGAGGAUCACUUGAGUCCAGGAGUUCUGGGCUGUAGUGUGCUAUGCCAAUCGGGUGUCUGCUCUAAGUUCGGCAUCAAUAUGAUGACCACCAGGUUGCCUAAGGAGGGGUGAACCAGCCCAAGUCAGAAACAAAGCAGGUCAAAACUCCUGUGCUGAUCAGUAGUGGGAUCGUGCCUGUGAAUAGCAAUUGCACUGCAGCCUAAGCAACCUGGGCAACAUAGCAAGAUCCCGUCUCUU
ensembl:misc_RNA Metazoa_SRP Metazoan signal recognition particle RNA